CCCUGAGAUGAACCAUAGUCGUAUCGUGACUAAAUCAGGCGAUACAAUAAUUCAACCAUCUGUGUUUUACUAUGUUAAUAGAACGCAGUAUUAAUUAAUUAAGUAAAUAAACUUGACAGCAAUGUCGGAGGAAUUUUUUAAACAUGCAGUUGGAUGAUCUAUCAUAGUGGAAGUUGCACCAGAAGCUUCCUAGUACACAAUAGAUAAAGUGAAGUACAUUAUUGAAUUAAGAAUACAUUGUACCAUAGACCAUAAAAGGAGAGGGUCUAAGUUCAUAAUUCUGUUCAGUAGCUUGAUAUUGCAACUUAACCAACACUCUACAUGUAGUGUUUAACUCUUAAGGAUUUUACAACUAUCAAUCUUUAUAAGACACAUGUGCGCGACAUGUGAUUCCGAAUUCUUCUUACUUGACUAAUUAGCAAUGUUGACAGUAGGCGUAUGCAUAGACUGUCAGGGCCAGCCUUACAAAUUGCGGGCCCCAAUUUAAUGUAUGCUAUUGAGACGCUCUUCUAAUAUUUAUUUUUUACAACAAGAACUAUUUUUAUUAAUUGGAUCAUUAUAUCAACAUUUAUUAUAUAAACAUGCAAUAGGAAACAAUAAAUGCAAUAUGCGCCGUUGGGUUAAUGAAAGUUACGUUAAUUAUAUGAUACUCUGAAUAUGUUAAUCCUGUAAGUCCUACAUCUUUGAAAGCCUGUGACAAAAGCUAUGACUGAUGCUAAAUGUACUUUUUUUGGGCCCCUGCUUGGGCCUCAAUUUGGAGCAUUAUGUAAAAUUGGCCUAGGGCCGCAGCUGUAUGCAUACCUGCAUGUCAGGGUGUUUUGUGCUUAAGAUAUAAACCUUUCCCCUUUAUGAAGCUUUCUAGCUUAUUAGUCGACUAAUUGUAAAAUGUUGAAAAACACUAACAUAGAAAUGUGUACUGGAACUUAAUCAAGGUUCAAACAAACUUCAGAUAGUUGAGAUAAGGUUAAUUGUGAACAGUUCUAAUGCAAAAUUAUGUCUAACAUCCUAUAUAGGAGACGCGAUGGCUGAGCGGUAAAGCUGAGGUCCAAAGGUUCAAAUCUUAGUGAAGGCUGGGAUUUUCCAUUUCGGGAUCUUGAGCGCCUCUGAGUCCACCCAGCUCGAUUGAGUACCUUACAGUUGGUGUAAAGUAAAGGCGGUUGGUUGUUGUGCUUGCCACCUGACAGCCUCGUAAAACCGUGGGCCACAGAAACAGAUGACUUUUACAUCAUCUGCCCUAUUUAUAGAAAAGGUCUGAAAGAGGAACAUAACUCUUUUUACUAAACUACCUAUAUGCCUGAAUACGAAAUAAAAUAUCUAGACAUUUUAUCAUUUUCUUUUAUAAUAAUUCUUUAAAACGCUGAUUAAAAUUUCGCACAGUUUUGUUAUAUUCCAGGACAAAUGACCCGUAGAUAAUAUUAGUGCCCAACAUGCCUACCAGUUGAUAUUUGUAUCAGAAAUUCAGUGUUAGACUAAAAUAAUAAUAAAUAUAUACUUCAUAAAACUAAAGUCACACCAUCAUCAGAAAAUUGAAUGACACUAAUUUAACAAUCACUUACUUCACGAAGCUGAACUAUUGUCUCUUUGUGUCACAGUCAAAGUGGAUCAUUUGUGUUUAAAGUAUGCUCAGGAAGUACAGAACGGUGUCUAAUGUAUGAUUAGAAGUUCCUAGUUAAAUAUGACUAAAUGAUUGUCAUGUCAAGUACAUGGUAAACAUAAAAAUACUACUUCUAGUUUCCUGUUUGUUUGGGGUUUUUGUAUUGGAAAGAUAUGCAAAUUAAAUGAAGAAAAAACAAUUCGGAAUAAAAAGAUCGGACAGAGUGGAAACAAUAUUGAUCUCACUAUUUAAUUAGAACCUGUUAAUAAAACAGACAACUUUAAAAUUCUUGAAGUGUGUAUUAAAAUGGUUAAUUUUGUCGUGAUGGUAUGGCAAUCUGAACAUUAAAAAUAAAAAUAAACUUCAUAGAACCCUAAAUGCUGCUGGCAAAGUCAUUGACAAAAAAACAAAAAAAAAACAACAACAUUUGGGCAGCUGUUUGAGACAAACAUCCAUAAAACAUCCAUAAAAAAGCUAAGAUUCUAGAAAUAAAAAUAAACCCUUGGGUCAGGAUUUUGUGAUAUUACCAUCACAAAAGAGGUACAAGACACCGAUACCAAAGACAGACACACUCUUUUGUUCCCCUGGCAAUCAAAUCAUUAAAUAGAAACAAUUUGAUAUAAACUUUUCAUAUGUAAUGUAUGAGUGAGUCUGGUGUGAAUGUACAUUUUGACUUUUAUAGUUAUAAUGUUUUGUUUAUAAUGCACAAAUUGUAAGAAAAAUUUCCUUACGGACAUGUUUUACUGUUGUUUUUUUUUGGUUUAAAUUAAUGUGUAACUGCUAUUAUAAAGUAAAUGUUUCACUGAUAUAAAAAAUGAAUGUUUCAAUGCUAUUAUAAAAAUGAUUCACUGGUUGUAGCUUUAAAUUUCAGACUCUUCAAUAUGGAUAAUUUUACAGUCUCGCCAUUAUUAGCUAACCGAGCAUCGGCUUAAGACUGACUGUGAUUCGGGAAACCUUUGGGCUAAUGGGAAAAAAUCUCUCAUUUUUAGCCACACAGACCAAUCCUUUUCUUUGAUCAAGUAUCUCAAGGCCUUGCGUCAAAUAUGCAGGACACUUCUUUGCUUUUUCUCGUACACGUAUACAUG